CACGUAGUUAGCCGUGACUUUCUGGCGGGGCACCAUCUGUCAUCUACCAUUUCCUGCAGAUGCUUUUUUCCCCCGCAACAGAGCUUUACGACCCGAAGGCCUUCUUCACUCACGCGGCAUCGCUCGUUCAGGCUUGCGCCCAUUGACGAAAAUUCCCUACUGCUGCCUCCCGCAGGAGUCUGGGCCGUGUCUCAGUCCCAAUGUGGCCGUCCGCCCUCUCAGGCCGGCUAUGCAUCAUCGUCUUGGUGGGCCUUUACCCUCGCCAACCAACUAAUGCACCGCAGGUCCAUCCGCGCCCCAUCCCUUACAGGAUGUUUCACAGAAAGAAGAUGCCUCCUUCCUGUACAUCGGGAUUUGUUCUCCGUUUCAGAGCGUAUUCCCGGUGCGCGGGCAGGUUCCCUACGUGUUACUCACCCGUUCGCCACGUAGGACUCCCGAAGGAUCCUCGUUCGACUUGCAUGUAUUAGGCAUCGCCGCCAGCGUUCAGUCGUGACGCCAGG
rnacentral:rRNA from 1 species